GACGAACGCUGGCGGCGUGCUUAACACAUGCAAGUGGUGCGACGAACCAGGCUUCGGCCUGGGGCGAAGCCGCGAACGGGUGAGUAACACGUGGGCAAUCUGCCCCUUUGAUCGGGACAACCCGGGGAAACCCGGGCUAAUACCGAAUGAGGUGGCGACUCAUGAGAGUCGUCACGAAAGGAAGCUUCGGCCUCCGCGCAGGGAUGAGCCCGCGGCCAAUUAGCUUGUUGGUGGGGUAAUGGCCUACCAAGGCAACGAUGGGUAGCUGGUCUGAGAGGACGAUCAGCCACACUGGGACUGAGACACGGCCCAGACUCCUACGGGAGGAUGCAGUGGGGAAUCUUGCGCAAUGAGCGACAGCUUGACGCAGCAACGCCGCGUGAGGGAAGAAGGCUUUCGGGUCGUAAACCUCUUUCAGUUAGGACGAAGCUUUAUUGGUUAAUAACCAAUUGGAGUGACGGUACUUUCAGAAGAAGCCCCGGCUAACUACGUGCCAGCCGCCGCGGUAA
rnacentral:rRNA from 1 species